GACGAAGGGGGCUAGCGUUGUUCGGAAUUACUGGGCGUAAAGCGCGUGUAGGCGGUUGCCCAAGUCGGGUGUGAAAGCCUUGAGCUCAACUUAAGAAAUGCACUCGGUACUGGGUGACUAGAGGACCGGAGAGGAUAGUGGAAUUCCCAGUGUAGUGGUGAAAUACGUAGAGAUUGGGAAGAACACCAGUGGCGAAGGCAGCUCGCUGGGACGUUACUGACGCUGAGACGCGAAAGCGUGGGGAGCAAACAGG
rnacentral:rRNA from 1 species